CCAGAUGUAUACUGCUUCAAAGGACGUACAACUUCUUGUUCAACAAAUUCAUCUACAGCCAUGCCCCUUCCAGGUUCGCCAUUUAUGUUUACAGUGCAAUUUCUCGUCCACAUUCUCCUAACUGCAAUAGGCCAGACAGCUAAUAUAUUUGUAAGAUGCACAAAUGCUUCAACUGAGUAAUUUGGCUUAUUGAAUUGAUGGAAAAGUGGCAUCAUUUGCAUCCAU